CCUGAACGCUGGCGGCGUGGCUAAGACAUGCAAGUCGUACGGGGCCGCAAGGCCCAGUGGCGAACGGGUGAGUAAUGAAUCGCUAAUGUGCCCCGGACUCAGGGAUAGCCGCUCGAAAGGGCGGGUAAUACCUGAUGACAUAACCCUGUCGCAUGGCAGGGUUCUCAAAGGUCCGCCGGUCUGGGAGCAGGCGAUUUCGUAUCAGCUAGUUGGUGAGGUAACGGCUCACCAAGGCGACGACGCGUAGCCGGACUGAGAGGUUGGCCGGCCACAUUGGGACUGAGACACGGCCCAGACUCCUACGGGAGGCAGCAGUGGGGAAUCUUGCGCAAUGGGCGAAAGCCUGACGCAGCGACGCCGCGUGAGGGAUGACGGCCU
rnacentral:rRNA from 1 species